rnacentral:rRNA from 1 species
GAGAAUGCCGGUGUGAGUAGCGAAAGACGGGUGAGAAUCCCGUCCACCGAUUGACUAAGGUUUCCAGAGGAAGGCUCGUCCGCUCUGGGUUAGUCGGGUCCUAAGCUGAGGCCGACAGGCGUAGGCGAUGGAUAACAGGUUGAUAUUCCUGUACCACCUAUAAUCGUUUUAAUCGAUGGGGGGACGCAGUAGGAUAGGCGAAGCGUGCGAUUGGAUUGCACGUCUAAGCAGUAAGGCUGAGUAUUAGGCAAAUCCGGUACUCGUUAAGGCUGAGCUGUGAUGGGGAGAAGACAUUGUGUCUUCGAGUCGUUGAUUUCACACUGCCGAGAAAAGCCUCUAGAUAGAAAAUAGGUGCCCGUACCGCAAACCGACACAGGUAGUCAAGAUGAGAAUUCUAAGGUGAGCGAGCGAACUCUCGUUAAGGAACUCGGCAAAAUGACCCCGUAACUUCGGGAGAAGGGGUGCUCUUUAGGGUUAACGCCCAGAAGAGCCGCAGUGAAUAGGCCCAAGCGACUGUUUAUCAAAAACACAGGUCUCUGCUAAACCGUAAGGUGAUGUAUAGGGGCUGACGCCUGCCCGGUGCUGGAAGGUUAAGAGGAGUGGUUAGCUUUUGCGAAGCUACGAAUCGAAGCCCCAGUAAACGGCGGCCGUAACUAUAACGGUCCUAAGGUAGCGAAAUUCCUUGUCGGGUAAGUUCCGACCCGCACGAAAGGCGUAACGAUUUGGGCACUGUCUCAACGAGAGACUCGGUGAAAUCAUAGUACCUGUGAAGAUGCAGGUUACCCGCGACAGGACGGAAAGACCCCGUGGAGCUUUACUGUAGCCUGAUAUUGAAAUUCGGCACAGCUUGUACAGGAUAGGUAGGAGCCUUUGAAACGUGAGCGCUAGCUUACGUGGAGGCGCUGGUGGGAUACUACCCUAGCUGUGUUGGCUUUCUAACCCGCACCACUUAUCGUGGUGGGAGACAGUGUCAG